GACGAACGCUGGCGGCGUGCUUAACACAUGCAAGUCGAACGGAAAGGCCCUGCUUUUGUGGGGUACUCGAGUGGCGAACGGGUGAGUAACACGUGAGUAACCUGCCCUUGACUUUGGGAUAACUUCAGGAAACUGGGGCUAAUACCGGAUAGGAGCUCCUGCUGCAUGGUGGGGGUUGGAAAGUUUCGGCGGUUGGGGAUGGACUCGCGGCUUAUCAGCUUGUUGGUGGGGUAGUGGCUUACCAAGGCUUUGACGGGUAGCCGGCCUGAGAGGGUGACCGGCCACAUUGGGACUGAGAUACGGCCCAGACUCCUACGGGAGGCAGCAGUGGGGAAUAUUGCACAGUGGGCGGAAGCCUGAUGCAGCAACGCCGCGUGCGGGAUGACGGCCUUCGGGUUGUAAACCGCUUUCGCCUGUGACGAAGCGUGAGUGACGGUAAUGGGUAAAGAAGCACCGGCUAACUACGUG
rnacentral:rRNA from 1 species